rnacentral:misc_RNA from 1 species
GUAUAUUUGUUAUCAAAUAGUACACGUUCUAAGACUUAAAAAUGUGGGUGUAAAAAAGCAGGCCGCAAAAUAACUCGCAGCCUGAAAGGUGCACAGGUGUGAGAAUGAAGAGGGUCAAGCUCCCCGGAGGGUGCUUUGUUCUCUAAUGAUCCUUCCGCAGGUUCACCUACGGAAA